rnacentral:rRNA from 1 species
GCCGCGACAGGGACCCGACGACGCACACGCACCCACCCACCUCCGCCCAUCGCGUACUACAAAUUACAGUAGCCGGAGACCCGACGGACGGCGUACAGUCGUCGUCACCCGCCGCGCCCAGCCUCCCGGUAAGAAGCCAAGCCAAUCCCAUCCAAGCCUUCCCUCCUCGUUCUCCUCGUGCGGGUGGAUAGAGUAGAGUAGAUAGGCAGAGUAGAUCGACCGCGCGUCGCCGUGGACUCGCGGGGUUGGUGGUUUGGUGGUGCCAUCCUCACCCGUGUGACCGGGUCCGCUGUGUGCGCAGCACAGCACGGUGGCUGGCUGCCUGACCGGGUCUGCCUCCAUCUCCGGGCCUUUUUGUUCGCACCUGGAUUAUACUACUGCCAUCCCCCGAUUUCCCUGGGAAACGCAAAGUGUGCCUUCGUCGCCAGAGAUCUAGCGCCGGUGGCAUGGCACCUUCCCGUGUUCUUUCUUUAUUUAUAGCCUCAGCUCCCCACUAGGAGUUUUGUUUCCAUCAACAAAACCUAACCAUUAAUUUGACCAGAAUUAUCCGCGUGAAAUGCCGCCCCCCUAAAUCUCGCAGCAGCAGAAAUUGGGCUCGCAUUUUAUUUUCACACCAAAUGGCUGCCAAAAACACUAGUAGUCCGUAUUUUUUAGUCCCAAGAAGGAGAGAGAGAGAGAGAGAUCAAGGCUUAUCCUCCUCCUCCAGCGACCCGGCUGGGCCAAGAAAGUCCAGGGGAAGAGACAGAAAAGAAGAACAGAAAACAGUGGGAAAAAGAGGCCGGGCUCCUCGAAUCUCUCACUAAUUUUCUCCUUGUCUGCGUGCCUACGCCUUGCCUCCUUCGGGGUUGGUGAGCGAGCGAGCUCGGGAUCAGUUGGGGACUACACACCCAGAGGUUGUUGUCCGAGAAUUAUUUAGGCCCGCCCCCUUCUUCCUUCCACGCCUUCUUAGCCUCGCCUCGCCUCGCCUCCCUUCUCUGGUCAGUCUUCUCGGAUCUCCGGCUCAAAUUCGUCUCCCCAAUCCCCAGUUCCAGGUUCUUGGAGGAGGGGGGAGGCCAUGGGCAGCUUCGCCAAGCUGGCCAAGAGGUGCGUGGAGACGGAGGCGCCGGUCAUGGUGAAGAUACAAGAGCUGCUUCGAGGGGUCACUGAUGUGAUGUCGCUUGCGCAGGGAAUUGUUUAUUGGCAACCUCCUGAGACAGCCCUGAACAAGGUCAAGGAAAUUGUAUGGGAACCAGCAACCAGUAAAUAUGGUGCUGAUGAUGGCCUUCCCGAGCUUCGAGAAGCACUUCUCGAGAAGCUUCACAGGGAGAAUAAGCUAACCAAGUCAUCGGUUAUGGUGACUGCCGGUGCAAAUCAGGCUUUUGUAAACCUUGUUCUGACCCUUUGCGAUGCUGGUGAUUCAGUUGUCAUGUUUGCACCAUAUUAUUUCAAUUCCUUCAUGUCAUUCCAGAUGACUGGCGUCACUGAUAUAUUAGUUGGUGCUAGCAAUCCCAAGACACUUCAUCCUGAUAUUGAUUGGUUAGAGAAGGUGCUGAAAGAAAAUAACCCUAUCCCUAAACUUGUUACUGUUGUCAAUCCGGGAAACCCUUCUGGAGCUUUUAUUCCCAAGCCUAUGCUACAGAGAAUUUCAGACCUGUGCAAGAAUGCUGGUGCAUGGCUGGUGGUUGACAAUACCUAUGAGUACUUCAUGUAUGAUAAAAUGGAGCACUACUGCCUAGAGGAUGAUCAUAUUGUCAACCUUUUCUCGUUCUCAAAGGCUUAUGGAAUGAUGGGGUGGCGUGUAGGAUACAUCGCAUAUCCAAGCGAAGCCGAUGGUUUCCACGCGCAGCUCCUUAAGGUGCAGGAUAACAUACCUAUCUGUGCUUCCAUCAUCGGGCAGCGCCUGGCUCUAUACUCAUUGGAGGCCGGCCCAGAGUGGAUCAGGGAAAGGGUGAACGAUCUCGUGAAAAACCGCGAGCUGCUUGUGGAGGCAAUGUCUCCCCUUGGUGAGGGUGCUGUCAAGGGUGGGGAGGGUGCCAUCUACCUCUGGGCUAAGCUACCAGACAACUGUUCAGACGACUUUGAGGUUGUCAGGUGGCUCGCGACCAAGCACGGUGUCGCAGUGAUCCCCGGGAGCGCCAGCGGAGGCCCCGGAUACAUCCGUGUUUCCUUCGGAGGGCUGAAGGAGGAAGACACGAGGCUCGCCGGCGAGAGGCUAAGGCGGGGUCUGCAAGAGCUGGUGACCGAUGGGAUGGUACAGUAACAACAGCCCGUCGUAUGUAAGACAGUAAGAGUACAUUUCUACAUUCAGAUCACACAGGUCCGAUUUUUUCGACGAUACGAUUCUGCCGGGAUUAGUUGAUUCAGAGGAGCAAAAGCACCAUAUAUCCAAGUCUUUUGUAUCUUACAGAAUCACCAUGCUGGAGGUGCCUGAUGGGAAUGGCAAUUGGUGUACUGAGAAUUGGGGCAAAAUAAAAAAAGCCGCGCAGCCCCCGUGUCGUAAUUCUCCGUUCGGUACUUCCUGCCGUUUAAUUUACCCUUUCCCCCAGCAACUGUACACAAGUGAAAUACGACAAUUAUAAGGUGCUUUUACACGCCUUCCCUGAGCCGUCUGUGUUUCCUGUUC